rnacentral:rRNA from 1 species
GUGGGGUGAUGGCCUACCAAGGCGACGAACGGGUAGCCGGCCUGAGAGGGCGACCGGCCACACUGGGACUGAGACACGGCCCAGACUCCUACGGGAGGCAGCAGUGGGGAAUAUUGCGCAAUGGGCGAAAGCCUGACGCAGCGACGCCGCGUGAGGGAUGACGGCCUUCGGGUUGUAAACCUCUUUCAGCAGGGACGAAGCGCAAGUGACGGUACCUGCAGAAGAAGCACCGGCCAAUUACGUGCCAGCAGCCGCGGUAAUACGUAGGGUGCAAGCGUUGUCCGGAAUUAUUGGGCGUAAAGAGCUCGUAGGCGGCUUGUCACGUCGGCUGUGAAAACUCGGGGCUCAACCCCGAGCCUGCAGUCGAUACGGGCAGGCUAGAGUCCGGGGAGGGGAGACUGGAAUUCCUGGUGUAGCGGUGAAAUGCGCAGAUAUCAGGAGGAACACCGGUGGCGAAGGCGGGUCUCUGGGCCGGAACUGACGCUAAGGAGCGAAAGCGUGGGGAGCGAACAGGAUUAGAUACCCUGGUAGUCCACGCCGUAAACGUUGGGCGCUAGGUGUGGGGGACCUUCCACGGCCUCCGUGCCGCAGCUAACGC